rnacentral:rRNA from 1 species
AUUGAACGCUGGCGGCAGGCUUAACACAUGCAAGUCGAGCGGGGGAAGGUAGCUUGCUACCGGACCUAGCGGCGGACGGUGAGUAAUGCUUAGGAAUCUGCCUAUUAGUGGGGGACAACAUCUCGAAAGGGAUGCUAAUACCGCAUACGUCCUACGGGAGAAAGCAGGGGAUCUUCGGACCUUGCGCUAAUAAAUGAGCCUAAGUCGGAUUAGCUAGUUGGUGGGGUAAAGGCCUACCAAGGCGACGAUCUGUAGCGGGGCUGAGAGGAUGAUCCGCCACACUGGGACUGAGACACGGACCAGACUCCUACGGGAGGCAGCAGUGGGGAAUAUUGGACAAUGGGGGGAACCCUGAUCCAGCCAUGCCGCGUGUGUGAAGAAGGCCUUAUGGUUGUAAAGCACUUUAAGCGAGGAGGAGGCUACUUUAGUUAAUACCUAGAGAUAGUGGACGUUACUCGCAGAAUAAGCACCGGCUAACUCUGUGCCAGCAGCCGCGGUAA